UACGGAGGGUGCAAGCGUUAAUCGGAAUUACUGGGCGUAAAGCGCACGUGGGUGGUUUUGUAAGUCGGAUGUGAAAGCCCUGGGCUUAACCUGGGAAUUGCAUUCGAUACUGCUUGACUAGGGUAUGGUAGAGGGAAGUGGAAUUUCCGGUGUAGCGGUGAAAUGCGUAGAUAUCGGAAGGAACACCAGUGGCGAAGGCGACUUCCUGGGCCAAUACUGACAAUGAGGUGCGAAAGCGUGGGUAGCAAACAGG
rnacentral:rRNA from 1 species